rnacentral:rRNA from 1 species
GACGAACGCUGGCGGCGUGCUUAACACAUGCAAGUCGAACGGAAAGGCCUUGCUUUUGUGGGGUGCUCGAGUGGCGAACGGGUGAGUAACACGUGAGUAACCUGCCCUUGACUUUGGGAUAACUUCAGGAAACUGGGGCUAAUACCGGAUAGGAGCUCCUGCUGCAUGGUGGGGGUUGGAAAGUUUCGGCGGUUGGGGAUGGACUCGCGGCUUAUCAGCUUGUUGGUGGGGUAGUGGCUUACCAAGGCUUUGACGGGUAGCCGGCCUGAGAGGGUGACCGGCAACAUGGGGACUGAGAUACGGCCCAGACUCCUACGGGAGGCAGCAGUGGGGAAUAUUGCACAAUGGGCGGAAGCCUGAUGCAGCAACGCCGCGUGCGGGAGGACGGCCUUCGGGUUGUAAACCGCUUUCGCCUGUGACGAAGCGUGAGUGACGGUAAUGGGUAAAGAAGCACCGGCUAACUACGU